rnacentral:rRNA from 1 species
AAAUUGAAGAGUUUGAUCAUGGCUCAGAUUGAACGCUGGCGGCAGGCCUAACACAUGCAAGUCGAACGGUAACAGGAAGCAGCUUGCUGCUUCGCUGACGAGUGGCGGACGGGUGAGUAAUGUCUGGGAAACUGCCUGAUGGAGGGGGAUAACUACUGGAAACGGUGGCUAAUACCGCAUAACGUCGCAAGACCAAAGAGGGGGACCUUCGGGCCUCUUGCCAUCAGAUGUGCCCAGAUGGGAUUAGCUAGUUGGUGAGGUAACGGCUCACCAAGGCGACGAUCCCUAGCUGGUCUGAGAGGAUGACCAGCCACACUGGAACUGAGACACGGUCCAGACUCCUACGGGAGGCAGCAGUGGGGAAUAUUGCACAAUGGGCGCAAGCCUGAUGCAGCCAUGCCGCGUGUAUGAAGAAGGCCUUCGGGUUGUAAAGUACUUUCAGCGGGGAGGAAGGUGUUGUGGUUAAUAACCACAGCAAUUGACGUUACCCGCAGAAGAAGCACCGGCUA